rnacentral:rRNA from 1 species
UACUGACGGUACCUAUCGAAUCAGCAUCGGCUAACUCCGUGCCAGCAGCCGCGGUAAUACGGAGGAUGCAAGCGUUAUCCGGAAUUAUUGGGCGUAAAGCGUCCGUAGGUGGUUGUUCAAGUCUGCUGUUAAAGCGUGCGGCUUAACCGCAUACCAGCAGUGGAAACUGGGCGACUAGAGUGCGGUAGGGGUCAGGGGAAUUCCCAGUGUAGCGGUGAAAUGCGUAGAUAUUGGGAAGAACACCGGUGGCGAAAGCGCCUGACUGGACCUGCACUGACACUGAGGGACGAAAGCUAGGGGAGCGAAUGGGAUUAGAUACCCCAGUAGUC